rnacentral:rRNA from 1 species
AUUGAACGCUGGCGGCAUGCUUUACACAUGCAAGUCGAACGGUAACAGGCCGCAAGGUGCUGACGAGUGGCGAACGGGUGAGUAAUGCGUCGGAACGUGCCCAGUCGUGGGGGAUAACGCAGCGAAAGCUGUGCUAAUACCGCAUACAAUCUAUGGAUGAAAGCGGGGGACCGUAAGGCCUCGCGCGAUUGGAGCGGCCGAUGUCAGAUUAGGUAGUUGGUGGGGUAAAGGCCUACCAAGCCAACGAUCUGUAGCUGGUCUGAGAGGACGACCAGCCGCACUGGGACUGAGACACGGCCCAGACUCCUACGGGAGGCAGCAGUGGGGAAUUUUGGACAAUGGGCGCAAGCCUGAUCCAGCAAUGCCGCGUGCAGGAAGAAGGCCUUCGGGUUGUAAACUGCUUUUGUACGGAACGAAACGGUCUGGGUUAAUACCCUGGGCUAAUGACGGUACCGUAAGAAUAAGCACCGGCUAACUACGUGCCAGCAGCCGCCGUAA